rnacentral:lncRNA from 1 species
UUUAUUAAUAUUUGCCUGUUUUCCUCACUAGAAUAUGAACUCCAUGGGGUGAGGAUUUUACUCCAUUGUGGUCUCAGAUGUAUCCUAUAGGGCCAUGGUGAGCACACAGUAGGUGCUCAAUACACGUGUGUACACGUGUGAACUGAAUGGCUUCACUGACCCUCUCAGCUUUGAGCUUCUUUACCUGUGGUGGCCAAUCUUGGUUUUCAUGGCAAUGAAGUCCUUGCCUGUUAUGAAACCAAUCAAUGGUAGGCAAUCUAUGGACUAUCCUGUUCACGGUCUCCACCCAUUCCCAUGAACGUACUGGCAACUUUGAUCUCUAAAACACCGAUGACCUCAAUUCUCUUCUCUACCAAGACUUCAAAAGUCUCAGAGGGAAAGAGAUGGUUUGAGUUUAAAUAUGUAUUGAAGGACAAACUUCUUGGAAUCAAAAAGACUGCAGAGUUCUAGUGGUAAAGUGUCCCUGGUUGGAGUGGCCAGGGCUGGGUAUGUUGGCUUAUCCUGUCUCCUUGGGGUCUGCCUGGAGGUUAUGAGUCUGUGGUGUCUGUGGCUGCUCGGGCUCAGGGUGUUUGCUGUCGAGGUCUUGAAUCCCUGAGGAGGAAGGGCAGGGGGGCUGCACGGUUCCAUGUGUGCUUCCGUGUGUG